GACGAACGCUGGCGGCGUGCUUAACACAUGCAAGUCGAACGGUGACGCUGGAGCUUGCUCCAGCUGAUCAGUGGCGAACGGGUGAGUAACACGUGAGCAACCUGCCCUUGACUCUGGGAUAACCCCGGGAAACCGGAGCUAAUACCGGAUACGAACCGCACAGGCAUCUGCGUGGUUGGAAAGUUUUUCGAUCAAGGAUGGGCUCGCGGCCUAUCAGCUUGUUGGUGGGGUAACGGCCCACCAAGGCGACGACGGGUAGCCGGCCUGAGAGGGCGACCGGGCAGACUGGGACUGAGACACGGCCCAGACUCCUACGGGAGGCAGCAGUGGGGAAUAUUGCACAAUGGGCGAAAGCCUGAUGCAGCGACGCCGCGUGAGGGAUGAAGGCCUUCGGGUUGUAAACCUCUUUCAGCAGGGAAGAAGCGAAAGUGACGGUACCUGCAGAAGAAGCACCGGCUAACUACGUGCCAGCCGCCGCAGUAAAAC
rnacentral:rRNA from 1 species